GCAAGUCGAGCGCGAACGUACCUUCGGGUGCUAUUAGAGCGGCGGACGGGUGAGUAACGCGUGGGAAUAUACCCAGUUCUAAGGAAUAGCCACUGGAAACGGUGAGUAAUACCUUAUACGCCCUUCGGGGGAAAGAUUUAUCGGAAUUGGAUUAGCCCGCGUUAGAUUAGAUAGUUGGUGGGGUAAUGGCCUACCAAGUCUACGAUCUAUAGCUGGUUUGAGAGGAUGAUC
rnacentral:rRNA from 1 species